UCGGGAAUUUUGGGCAAUGGGCGAAAGCCUGACCCAGCAACGCCGCGUGAAGGAUGAAGUAUUUCGGUAUGUAAACUUCGAAAGAAUAGGAAGAAUAAAUGACGGUACUAUUUAUAAGGUCCGGCUAACUACGUGCCAGCAGCCGCGGUAAUACGUAGGGACCAAGCGUUGUUCGGAUUUACUGGGCGUAAAGGGCGCGUAGGCGGCAAUUCAAGUCAUCUGUGAAAUCUCCGGGCUUAACUCGGAACGGUCAGAUGAUACUGCUUUGCUAGAGUGCAGAAGGGGCAAUCGGAAUUCUUGGUGUAGCGGUGAAAUGCGUAGAUAUCGGAAGGAACAUCGGUGGCGAAGGCGUCUACCUGGCCUAAUACUGACACUGAGGCACGAAAGCGUGGGGAGCAAACAGGAUUAGAUACCCAAGUAGUACCCUGAGCGGGCUGGCAAGGCGCAU
rnacentral:rRNA from 1 species